UAAACUACAGUUUACAGAUUUUUACCGUCAUGGUUUGACAGUUUUUCACCGUAAAAUGUACAAACAUUUUUUACAGUGUAUAAUAAUAAUGAUAACAACCCCAGUUUGAACUCACACAUCUGAAAUGUGCAGCAGUGCUUUCAGCAGCAUUAUACGAUCACAGAAGUUGCAUUUAGUGGUUAAAAAGACGAGCAUAAGAAGAGCAGAGACUUACCCUGACAGAGUGAUGUGUGCUUGGGAAGAGUCUCAGUGGGGAAUUGUUUGCUGUGUUCCUCUCAGUGGGCCAUAAGCUUUUAAACCCAGGAGUGGAUCACAUGGCGGCAAGCUGCCCAUAUCUACAAUGGGUGGGCACAUACCUGCAAACAGAUGGCAGAUGGCAUUAACUAGAAUGGGAAAACAUGCAUUCUCCGUGGAGUUGCUUUGUCUAUUUUUACCUUUGAAAACCUCGACCGAACGGCGCGGGAUUAUUGCUCUCAAAAGGUUUCAGCAUCUCAGGUCUGCCAGACUGGAGGUAUGAUCUGAAUAAUCCUCGUAGACCUAUUCCUGUGUUCACACAAAGACACAAAGGCAUGGAUGGAGGUUCUCUGAUUUACUCCUGCAUUCUCUUAUGUCAUCUUUUGACUCUUCGGAUCAGUGUCACACUCUCAAACUUUACUUAACCCUCCUGUUGUCCUCAUUUACAGGCACCAAAAAAUAUUGUUUCCUUAUCUGAAAAAAAUUCAAAAAUUUAACAACAAAAAAAAUCCUUUCGGAAGAAAAUUCCAAUAAUUCCUUAAAAGUUUUCCUUAAAAAUUUUGUUUAAAAAAUAAUAAUCCCCCAAAUUUGGCAAGAAAAUCCUUGUAAAUAUUUUCAAAAAAUGAGUAAAAAUCCUCAAAAAAAAUUCUAAAAAUAUCUAAAGUGAUUACAUAUGUAUCAGUAAAUAAAUAUUUUCUUUAAGAACAUUUGUGAAAACAACAUUCGGGAUUUUGGUUGUUUUUUUCCAAAUGUUCUUAAAGAAACAUUUUUUUUUUAGCAUUUCUUUUUAUUCCACCAAAUAAAUGUUCAAAAAUUUCUCAAAAAUGUUGAAAAUGUGGAAGCUUUCCCUGUGAAAAUAUAUGUUUUUUUCCCACAUUUUCAAACUUUAAAACGGGUCAAUUUUGACCCGCAGGACGACACGAGGGUGAAACGACUGCAUUUUAGUCCUCAAACUGGAUUUAUUGUGCAGUCAAAUCCUUAUCAUCAAGGAAGAGACUGAACUAAACUCCAUCUGCAGCUUGCCUUUAGUCUUGAACUUCUCUCAGUCAUCACAAGCAAUAACAUGUUAUCUACAGCAGCCUUUGAUACACCCAGCGUUGACUGUGAUGUGUCAGACUCACAGGCAGGAUUAUGAGUCAGCAGAGGUUUACUUUGAGCUGAAUGGAACUCAGUUUGUGGGACUGCUUAAUACGAGGGUUCCCCGCCCCUCCAGCACAACUCUGGCUUUGUUUGCAGAGAAGUUAACAUCUCAGGUCAGUCAAGAAGACCAGCUCAUGUCGAGUGUUAAGUUUUAUCGACGUGAAUCCUGAGCUAAGUGCCGAGUCUUUGGGAAAAAGUGAAAAAAAUAGGACUGACUCAGGAUCAGCGGGACAGAUGUGGAGAGAGUGGAGAGCUUCAAGUACCUGGGUGUUAACAUCACCAGGACCUGACGUGGUCCUGUCACAUCAACACCCUGCUGAAGAAAGCUCCACAGCGUCUCUACCACCUCAGACGCCUGAAGGGCUUUAAGCUCCUCUAAAGGUGUUCAGGAACUUCUACAGCUGCACCAUGAGAGUGUUCUGUCUGGGAGUAUCAGCACCUGGAUGAGCAGCAGCCCCCAGCAGGACUUCUGGGCCCUGAGGAGGGAGGUCUGCUGGGCUGAGAACCAUCAGAACCACCCUCCCCAACCUGCAGGACGUUUACAACAAACGCUGCAGCUUAAAGGCCACCCACCCCAGCCACAGACUGUUCUCUCUGCUGCCACCAGGGCAGCGUUAGCGCUGCCUGAAGACAAACAGAGGAUGAGGAGGAGCUUCUUCCCACAGGCUGUCCUCCUGCUAAACCUGAAACAGUAACUAAAUGGACAAUCAACCUGCAACCUCUGUUCAAUAUUCAACAUCCCGUUCACUUUCGCCUUGUACAUAUACAUUACUGCACUACUUCACUGUGAUUUAUACAUUUGUUUUGUUCAUUUCUAUCUAUAUAUAUGUAUAUGUGCAUGUAUAUAUGCAUAUAUUUAUGUGUGUGUGUAUGUAUGUAUAUAUAUAUAUAUAUAUACAUAUUUUGUUAUUGUUUUGUUUGGAACAGGUGCACAAUGCAUUUCACUAUAUAAUUAUACUAUGUAUAAUUGUGUUUGUGACAGAUAAAUGUCUUGAAUCUUGAAUCAAUGCUGGAUUGAGGUUUUGUGACGUAUUAAAUGAAUGCCGGAGGGACAUCAGCAAUUUUCUACAUUUUUUUUUUAUUUUAGAAAAAAAACAUAAAAUGCCAAAAAUGCCUGCAGGCACCAAGGUCCUAUUAUUACAUUAUUCUAUGGCUCUUAUCAGGUUGUUUCCCCCUGAAUAAAUCCUUCCUUGUGCUGUAUCUACUCUCAGAUGUAUGUUGCUUUGGGUAAAAGCUAAGCUGCUAAAGGAAAUUGUAGAAUUGUAAAGUCCUGGAGAUGAAACUAAAGCCUAAACCUAAGGUGUUUUAUCUGUGUGUCCAUAGUUUUUGUGUCAGCUACUGGUAGAUUUGGUCAACAGCGUGGACUUCUGGAUGGUUUUAUGUAGACGUAAUUCCUCACAGACUCAGUGAUACAGAACUGUACCUGCAGGCGUUGACUUUGUUCCAGUUCUAUUUGCUGUGUACAUAAUUAGCACCAGGAUGCCUUAAGUCUAUAGCUUUGCUUUAGUUUGGUGCAUAUAUAAACAUACACGGGAAUUAGUUUGUGUUUUGCAUGAUAAAAGAUUCACACACUGUCAGCACGUCUUCGCCUCGUAUGACAGAAUACUGUAAAAAAUGUUCUUACAUUUUACAGUGAAAAACUGUCAAAGCAUGACGGUAAAAAUCUGUAAACUCUUUGAUGCCGUUUAUAUAACACUGAAUCACUGUGAACAGGUUAAUUAGGAGAAAAGUGUGUUUUUAGAUUUUUUUUUUACAUUUCCCAACUCCUGCACAGUUUAUAAUGGAAAAAUGCUGGAAUAUGUGUAAUAAUGCUGUCAUUUUUGCAUUUAAUUCUUGAAAGGAAUGCAGUUUUUCCCAGUUAAACGUACAUGUUGUACUGGUAAUGGAAACAUGCUGCAAUAUUUAUAACAAGUAACAUGGCAAUGUAAAACAUACAGUUUGUUACUGGUAAAAUUUAUGUAGUUUUGUGUUAAUAACAGACAUAUGCUUUCAUAUUUGACAGCUUUAACUGCAAUUUUUGCUAAAAAUACACAUAUUAAAUGUUAAAUACACUAAAUGCUGUGCUAUUAAUUGGAAAAUGCUGUAAUAUUUAUGUAAAUUUUCACAUGUUUAAAGGUUAAAAGUUUUUGUUUUACAGUAAAAUAUGGAAUGAAGCACGCUUUUAACCCUAAAGUCAACAAUAUCAAGACAUUUCUUUACCGUAAAUGUAGAAAAUGUUUUACUGGAAUUUUUUGGUAGCAUUCUGGCAAACACAGCUGCCAGGACUUUACAGUAAAAACAAUAUUCUUUUUUUUUUUUUUUUUUUACAGUGUAUACUAUGUGUGUACCUGAAAUAUCAACACUAAAAUAAAUUCUGGGUGAUUUUUUUCCAUUUUCAAACACAUUUUGUGCCAAAUAUUUGAACCGUCUUUGCUCGGAUAUGUGAGGAAAAUCACAAUAUUUGAUCUGGAGCUUGAAAACAAAAAGUCAAACAACCAAUUUUCUUUGUUUUUAAGGAAGAAGGGCAAAGCAGUCAUGAACCCGACACGCUUGAUUCUUUUUUAGCUCAUCAGUCGUCAUUCUGGCACAUCUUGCUUCUUGCGGGAUAAAAGCUCAUCUGACUGACAUAUAAAUAGUGUUCAGAGCAGGUGAUUCACUCAGAGGUCACACAACAUUCACAUGAACACACAAACUGCUCCACAGACACUCUAAAGUCGACACACAGAACACUUAUUCAUUCUGCUUUUGACUUUUACUUCUAAAUGUUUACAUUUGGUGUUGCUUUAAAAAAUGUCCAUGAGUGUUGAGUUAGGAAGUCAGCUAAUGACAGAACUGACCUCUGAUUGCCUUCCUGUGAUUGAGUAAACUUUCUCCUCCUGGUUGUUUUGUUGUAAACUCCACCCGUCUGGCACCUGAGUCAACGAACACAAACAACAGAAACUCCUCAGGCUGAAUUCCAUUUAAACCUGCGUGGCAGCACUAGUCCACACACACAUCUUCAGACUGACUCCAGCUGGUGGGAAAAUCUUUCUCAUCGUUGCUGUAAACUUCCUGUGAGCUGAUGCUGCCACCUUGAGGCAGAACUGAAAAUGUGCGUGGUUGGAUUAAAGCCUGCAUGCAGUCAGAGGGUCGGAUGAAGCAUCUGCUGGAUCAGGCCACAAUCAGACCAGCUGCAGAACAACAACACAAGAGAGGUCUGGAGAGGACUCCAGACCAUAUCAGGGCAGGGCAAGGGCAGAAAAGGGGAGCCUGAACCUGGGGACAGAGACUGGACCAACCAGUUAAACCUGUUUUUCAACAGGUUUGAUACUGGUCUCAUCCCCUCCCCUCCACCUCUAGCCUGAGCCUUGUCCAGCCGGCCUCCAGCUCCUGCUGCCUGCUAGCUCCCUCCCCCUCACCUCCUUCACCUCCACCAUCUCUGGCCCCCCCCCCCCAACAAACUGGACUGGACAGAUCACACUGACUCUCUGUAUAAGAAGGGUCAGUGUCAUCUAUACCUGCUGAGGAGACUCCCAUCAUUUGGUGUGAGCAGGACACUGCUGAGGACCUUUUAUGACACUGUGGUGGCAUCCAUGGUCUUCUAUGCAGUGGUGUACUGGGGAGGGGGAUGCUCUAAGCGUGGUAAAAACAGACUAAACAGACUGAUAAAAAGAGCAGCUCAGUCUGUGGCUGAUCCCUGGACUCCAUGGAGGUGGUGGGAGAGAGGAGGGCUCUGGAUAAACUGUCUUCUAUCAUCAGAAACUCCUCCCAGCCUCUGCAUCAGACUGUGAACUCCUUAAGAAGCUCCUUCAGCAACAGACUGGUUCACCCUAAAUGUAAGAAGGAACGUUUCUGCAGGUUGUUUAUUGUUAGAUUGUACAAUGCUGCAUUAUAAACUCCACCAUGUACUGUUUACUGCUGCACUUUUUCUCUUCCCCCAUUUUAGACACGCAUCCUCCUACUUAUGUGUAAUAACUGAUACCUCAUCAGUGCAAUAACUGAUACCUCAUCCUCUUGUAUAUAAUAUUCUACAUAUUUAUAAGAAGAAAAAAAAUCAUCUGUAUAUAAUGUUUUUUUUCUGCAAUUUUUGCACUGUGUUUCUUUUUCUUAUCUAUUCCUUCACUGCCUUUAUACUUUUUCUUUGGAGCUGCUGUAACGGUGAA